GGAUAGGUAGCUCAGUGGUGGAGUAUCUGCUUUGCAUGUAGAAAGUCCCAGGUUUAAUCCCCGGGAUUGUCCC